rnacentral:rRNA from 1 species
UACGUAGGGUGCGAGCGUUGUCCGGAAUUAUUGGGCGUAAAGAGCUCGUAGGCGGUCUGUCGCGUCGAAUGUGAAAACCCGGGGCUCAACUCCGGGCUUGCAUUCGAUACGGGCAGGCUAGAGUUCGGUAGGGGAGUCUGGAAUUCCUGGUGUAGCGGUGAAAUGCGCAGAUAUCAGGAGGAACACCGGUGGCGAAGGCGGGACUCUGGGCCGAUGCUGACGCUGAGGAGCGAAAGCGUGGGGAGCGAACAGG